UCUCAGUGUUGAAGGUAUAGUCCCCAGUGUUGAGCUACUUGGAGUUGAUAUCAGCUUUAAGAGGCUUUUCCCGCCUAAUGAAUCUGAGCCUUUGCAAGCGCCGUGUGAUUGACAGAGCCACAGACUGACAGCUUCAAGUUUCUUCGAAGACUAGGGUUUAUGGCAGCAUUUUUGGACCCACCCAGGGAGCUCUGACUGCCAGAACUGGAGAAGAGGGAGCUCCAGAGGACACAAGAUGCAACUGUCCCUGGGUUUGACUACAAGAGAGGAGCUGUUAACCAGAUUAACCCUACAAAUGACAGGACCUUGAAGAGAGAAGAAUGGUAGACAGUGGGAGGCAUUGGCUCCCAUUUAUGGCUUGGCCUGGUAGACUCAUCACUCAAGGACACACAUUCUGCUAUGGAUGAGGGAUCAGGUGUACAGAUGUGAUGCUGA